AGAGUUUGAUCCUGGCUCAGGACAAACGCUGGCGGCGUGCCUAAUACAUGCAAGUUGAACGAUGAGGCUUCUUCGGAAGUACAUCAGUAGCGGACGGGUGAGUAACGCGUAGAAAAUCUGCCUCUAAGAGGGGGACAACAGUUGGAAGCGACUGCUAAUACCCCAUAUGAGAUUAGCUGAAAUGCUUUUCUUGAAAGUUCCGGCGCUUAGAGAUGAGUCUGCGUCUGAUUAGUUUGUUGGUGGGGUAAAGGCCUACCAAGACGAUGAUCAGUAGCUGGUUUGAGAGGAUGAUCAGCCACGAUGGGACUGAGACACGGCCCAUACUCCUACGGGAGGCAGCAGUAGGGAAUUUUGCGCAAUGGACGAAAGUCUGACGCAGCAACGCCGCGUGAGUGAUGACGCCUUUAGGGGUGUAAAGCUCUGUCAGUAGGGAUGAAUAAAUGACAGUACCUACAAAGGAAGCAUCGGCUAACUACGUGCCAGCAGCCGCGGUAAGACGUAGGAUGCAAGCGUUGUCCGGAUUUAUUGGGCGUAAAGAGUUCGUAGGUGGCACGCAAAGUCUGAUGUUAAAGGCUGGGGCUCAACUCCAGUACGGCAUUGGAUACUGGCAAGCUAGAGUACGGUAGAGGCAAGGGGAAUUCCUAGUGUAGCGGUGAAAUGCGUAGAUAUUAGGAGGAACACCAGUGGCGAAAGCGCCUUGCUGGGCCGUAACUGACGCUGAGGAACGAAAGCUAGGGUAGCGAAUGGGAUUAGAUACCCCAGUAGUCCUAGCCGUAAACGAUGGAUACUAGGUGUUGUGGGUAUCGACCCCUACAGUGCCGAAGUUAACGCGAUAAGUAUCCCGCCUGGGGAGUACGCACGCAAGUGUAAAACUCAAAGGAAUUGACGGGGACCCGCACAAGCGGUGGAACAUGUGGUUUAAUUCGAAGCAACGCGAAGAACCUUACCGGGGCUUGACAUCCCAAGAAUCCCGGCGAAAGUUGGGAGUGCUCUUCGGAGAACUUGGUGACAGGUGGUGCAUGGUUGUCGUCAGCUCGUGUCGUGAGAUGUUGGGUUAAGUCCCGCAACGAGCGCAACCCUUGUUGUUAGUUGGUGGCAAGAGUACACUCUUGUCGAUCUCUCUAGCAAGACUGCCGGUAAUAAACCGGAGGAAGGUGAGGACGACGUCAAAUCAUCAUGCCCCUUAUGCUCUGGGCUACACACGUGUUACAAUGGGUAAGACAACGAGCAGCCAGCUGGCAACAGUGAGCGAAUCUCUUAAACUUAUCCUCAGUUCGGAUUGUAGUCUGCAACUCGACUACAUGAAGCUGGAAUCGCUAGUAAACGCAGAUCAGCACGCUGCGUUGAAUACGUUCCCGGGUCUUGUACACACCGCCCGUCACACCAUGGAAGUAGACCACGCCCGAAGUCGGUGAGCUAACCUUUUGGAAGCAGCCGCCUAAGGUAGGGUUUGUAACUAGGGUGAAGUCGUAACAAGGUA
rnacentral:rRNA from 1 species